rnacentral:rRNA from 1 species
UACGUAGGGUGCAAGCGUUGUCCGGAAUUAUUGGGCGUAAAGAGCUCGUAGGCGGUCUGUCGCGUCUGCUGUGAAAAUCAGGGCUCAACCCUGGACCUGCAGUGGGUACGGGCAGACUAGAGUGCGGUAGGGGAGAUCGGAAUUCCUGGUGUAGCGGUGAAAUGCGCAGAUAUCAGGAGGAACACCGGUGGCGAAGGCGGAUCUCUGGGCCAUUACUGACGCUGAGGAGCGAAAGCGUGGGGAGCGAACAGGA